AGCGGCGACAGAACGCAACAAGAGAAGAAGAAAACCCCACGGAAAGGAAGGCUCAGACAAGACAGCCGGGGAGCGGCGGAAGCCACGCAUGCGCAUGCAUCUGAAUCCGGAGUGCUGGUUUCGUUCCUCACUCACCCCAUCUGCGGCGUCAGCCCGAGCCCGUUGGCGAAGAGGACGCGCCGGCCGCCUCCGCCUGCAGGCAGCGGCGGCCUGGCGUAGUCCGCAGCGUCGAGCGCUGCCACCGCGGCGGCGAGGCAGGCGGCCAGCAGGAGGAGCGCGGCCGUCGUACUCGGACACAGGCUCUGAAUCUCGGGCGCCAUCCUUGUUGCUUCGGCGCUGCGUCGCGUCCUGCCUGCGUACUCUGUGGGCUUGUCACCAUGCCGGUAUCCGUAUAUAUGCGUGCGCUGGAGAAGAGGAGAAGGGGGCGUACCAGUGCGCACGCGCUGCAGUCUGUGCGGCAGCGGUACUCCAGCUUGUCUGACGCGUGACGGGCCCGGGGUGUCGGACGUAGCCGGGAGAGGUGCGCGGGAAUCGCUCAAUUAAAAGCCGUGACACACGGGCGACAGCUUGUUGUGGACGACAGCUUGUUGUGGGCGCCCUGCAUGCGGUGAUUUGGUCUGCUUGCCUCCUGCGAUUAAAAUAUGAUUUCUCAAAUCAAAACAACAGGUAUGGCAAUUAAAAUGCGAUUUCGAACGAACCCAAAGUUUCGCCGUGACUGGUUAUGAACGGCAAAUGUGUUGUCAAUGUACAGGCAAAAAAAAAGUAAUCUAGCAAUACAAGCAUACAACCGAAUCACACCCCGUCAGUCCGUCACAGUUUUCAUCACUUCUGAAUGAAUGGAUGAACGACGGCGUAACUAUGGACGCAAGCAACCCUCCAGCCGUAUAAAUAGAUAUACCUCUGCUCAACACCCAUCAUUUUUGGACCGUUGGAGGCAAACAAGUAACCAAAAAUAACGCUGGCAUAACACGCAUGCAUUAGAUUCGCCACUUAGGACCCAUCAACAUAUUGCUGCAGUGUCUCAGUUCUCAAAUCAGUCCCCAGUUCAAGCGUUACAAAUUAUACAGCUCAGGUUCAAAGGAGGCACACGACAUACAAACGUUAAGUCUGACAUUUUCAUUUCCCCCAGAAGACUGUUUACAUAGGUAAUGUGGCGAGUAAUA